UGAGUGUGCCGGGCGACCGCCCGCCUGAAUCGGUCUACGGCUGAAUCAAGCGGGAGGAAAGUCCGGACUCCGCAGGGCAGGGUGCUGGGCAACUCCCAGGCGGCGCGAGCCGACGGAAAGUGCCACAGAGAACAGACCGCCUAUGUCGGUGGCGACACCGGCAGGCAAGGGUGAAACGGUGGUGUAAGAGACCACCAGCAUCCCGGGAGACCGGGAUGGCUAGGCAAACCCCACCCGGAGCAAGGCCAAGCAGGGAUCACUGGUUGCCCGCCUCGAUUCUCGUUUCGGCGAGGUCGGAUCCCAGGUAGGCCGCACCGAGGUCGCGCGGCAACGCCGGCCCCAGAUGGAUGGUCGCCGAUUCGGCGAAGCCAAAUCGGUCCGAAUUCGCCCAGCGGCGAACUCGGCCGAAAGGUCAGAACCGAUGAACAGAAUCCGGCUUACAGGCACACUCAUUGU
rnacentral:RNase_P_RNA from 1 species